UACGGAAGGCAGCAGUGGGGAAUAUUGCACAAUGGGCGCAAGCCUGAUGCAGCCAUGCCGCGUGUAUGAAGAAAGCCUUCGGGUUGUAAAGUACUUUCAGUCGUGAGGAAGGUGUUAAGGUUAAUAACCUUAGCAAUUGACGUUAGCGACAGAAGAAGCACCGGCUAACUCCGUGCCAGCAGCCGCGGUAAUACGGAGGGUGCGAGCGUUAAUCGGAAUUACUGGGCGUAAAGGGCACGCAGGCGGUUAAUUAAGUUGGAUGUGAAAUCCCCGGGCUUAACCUGGGAAUGGCAUUCAAGACUGGUUAGCUAGAGUCUUGUAGAGGGGGUUAGAAUUCCAUGUGUAGCGGUGAAAUGCGUAGAGAUGUGGAGGAAUACCGGUGGCGAAGGCGGCCCCUGGACAAAGGACUGACGCUCAUGUGCGAAAGCGUGGGGAGCAAAC
rnacentral:rRNA from 1 species